rnacentral:rRNA from 1 species
UACGUAGGUCCCGAGCGUUGUCCGGAUUUAUUGGGCGUAAAGCGAGCGCAGGUGGUUUAUUAAGUCUGGUGUAAAAGGCAGUGGCUCAACCAUUGUAUGCAUUGGAAACUGGCAGACUUGAGUGCAGGAGAGGAGAGUGGAAUUCCAUGUGUAGCGGCGAAAUGCGUAGAUAUAUGGAGGAACACCGGUGGCGAAAGCGGCUCUCUGGCCUGUAACUGACACUGAGGCUCGAAAGCGUGGGGAGCAAACAGG